CAGCAGCCGCGGUAAUGCGAAGGGUGCAAGCGUUAAUCGGAAUUACUGGGCGUAAAGCGUGCGUAGGCGGUGAGUUAAGUCUGCUGUGAAAUCCCCGGGCUCAACCUGGGAAUGGCAGUGGAUACUGGCUCGCUAGAGUGUGUCAGAGGAUGGUGGAAUUCCCGGUGUAGCGGUGAAAUGCGUAGAGAUCGGGAGGAACAUCAGUGGCGAAAGCGGCCAUCUGGGACAACACUGACGCUGAGGCACGAAAGCGUGGGGAGCAAACAGGAUUAGAUACCCGUGUAGUCCCUGUCUCUUAUCC
rnacentral:rRNA from 1 species